rnacentral:rRNA from 1 species
GACGAACGCUGGCGGCGUGCUUAACACAUGCAAGUCGAACGAAGUGGCGACCGGGUGAGUAACACGUGAGUAACCUGCCCUCUUCUUUGGGAUAACGGUCGGAAACGGCUGCUAAUAAUGGAUAUUGGGGGAUGGGCUCGCGGCCUAUCAGCUUGUUGGUGGGGUGAUGGCCUACCAAGGCUUUGACGGGUACCCGGCCUGAGAGGGUGACCGGGCACCUUGGAAAUGGGAUACGGCCCAGAGGCCGACGGGAGGCAGCAGUGUGGAAGUUUGCACAAUGGGCGAAAGCCUGAUUGCGCGACGCCGGGGGGGGGAUGAAGGCUUUUGGGUUGUAAACAUCUUGCGCUAUCGAACGGGUAGGUGGAGAAGAAGCGCCGGCUAACUACGUGCCAGCAGCCGCGGUAAUAC